UACAGGGGGGGCAAGGCGUUGUUCGGAAUUACUGGGCGUAAAGGGCGUGUAGGCGGCCGACUAAGUCCGACGUGAAAUCCCCAGGCUUAACCUGGGAACUGCGUCGGAUACUGGAUGGCUUGAAUCCGGGAGAGGGAUGCGGAAUUCCAGGUGUAGCGGUGAAAUGCGUAGAUAUCCGGAGGAACACCGGUGGCGAAGGCGGCUCCUGGACCGACACUGACGCUGAGGCGCGAAAGCUAGGGGAGCAAACGGG
rnacentral:rRNA from 1 species